AGUGAACGCUGGCGGUAGGCCUAACACAUGCAAGUCGAACGGCAGCACAGUAAGAGCUUGCUCUUACGGGUGGCGAGUGGCGGACGGGUGAGGAAUACAUCGGAAUCUACUUUUUCGUGGGGGAUAACGUAGGGAAACUUACGCUAAUACCGCAUACGACCUACGGGUGAAAGCAGGGGAUCUUCGGACCUUUCGCGAUUGAAUGAGCCGAUGUCGGAUUAGCUAGUUGGCGGGGUAAAGGCCCACCAAGGCGACGAUCCGUAGCUGGUCUGAGAGGAUGAUCAGCCACACUGGAACUGAGACACGGUCCAGAGGCCUACGGGAGGCAGCAGUGGGGAAUAUUGGACAAUGGGCGCAAGCCUGAUCCAGCCAUACCGCGUGGGUGAAGAAGGACUUCGGGUUGUAAAGCCCUUUUGUUGGGAAAGAAAAGCAGCAGGUUAAUACCCCGCUGUUCUGACGGUACCCAAAGAAUAAGCACCGGCUAACUUCGUG
rnacentral:rRNA from 1 species